AUCGUAUUUAACCUAGACUCAAACACGGCUAGAAAGAAAGUUCUUUGUUUUCACAUUUCGUUGGAUUACUUGUAACUCCGUCGUCCUGUGGUACGCAAUAGCAAUUUAUUUUUCCACGCUAUAAGCGCCGUUGAGGCGAAAGAUUACACAAAUUUAGAUAUUUAGGAAAAUAGACAUGUCUAACACAGCUACUGGCACAGUUAAGUGGUUCAACGAAACUAAAGGCUUCGGUUUCAUCCAACAAGAAAACGGUCCUGACGUAUUUGCUCACUUCUCUGCAAUCACUGGUGACGGCUUCCGUACUCUAGUUGAAGGCCAGAAAGUAGAAUUUGUUAUCUCUCAAGGUCAAAAAGGCCCUCAAGCAGAGCAAAUCAAAGUACUUUAAUUCUUAAAGAAUUUGAUACUGUAGCCAGCUUUUAAGCUGGCUAUUUUU
rnacentral:sRNA from 1 species